rnacentral:rRNA from 1 species
GUCCCUAUCUGCCGUGGGCGCUGGAGAACUGAGGGGGGCUGCUCCUAGUACGAGAGGACCGGAGUGGACGCAUCACUGGUGUUCGGGUUGUCAUGCCAAUGGCACUGCCCGGUAGCUAAAUGCGGAAGAGAUAAGUGCUGAAAGCAUCUAAGCACGAAACUUGCCCCGAGAUGAGUUCUCCCUGAGACUUAGAGUCUCCUGAAGGAACGUUGAAGACGACGACGUUGAUAGGCCGGGUGUGUAAGCGCAGCGAUGCGUUGAGCUAACCGGUACUAAUGAACCGUGAGGCUUAACCUUACAACGCCGAAG